GACGAACGCUGGCGGCGUGCUUAACACAUGCAAGUCGAACGGAAAGGCCCUGCUUUUGUGGGGUGCUCGAGUGGCGAACGGGUGAGUAACAUGUGAGUAACCUGCCCUUGACUUUGGGAUAACUUCAGGAAACUGGGGCUAAUACCGGAUAGGAGCUCCUGCUGCAUGGUGGGGGUUGGAAAGUUUCGGCGGUUGGGGAUGGACUCGCGGCUUAUCAGCUUGUUGGUGGGGUAGUGGCUUACCAAGGCUUUGACGGGUAGCCGGCCUGAGAGGGUGACCGGCCACAUUGGGACUGAGAUACGGCCCAGACUCCUACGGGAGGCAGCAGUGGGGAAUAUUGCACAAUGGGCGGAAGCCUGAUGCAGCAACGCCGCGUGCGGGAUGACGGCCUUCGGGUUGUAAACCGCUUUCGCCUGUGACGAAGCGCGAGUGACGGUAAUGGGUAAAGAAGCACCGGCUAACUACGUG
rnacentral:rRNA from 1 species